GCACCUCAUAAAACGGGUGCCGGGAUUGGCCUCCCGCUGACAAUCGAGGCGAUACAUGACGCGCCAGCGUCUUUUUU
rnacentral:sRNA from 2 species